UACGUAGGGUGCAAGCGUUAAUCGGAAUUACUGGGCGUAAAGCGUGCGCAGGCGGUUUUGUAAGUCUGUCGUGAAAUCCCCGGGCUCAACCUGGGAACUGCAUUGGUGACUGCAUUGCUGGAGUAUGGCAGAGGGGGGUGGAAUUCCACGUGUAGCAGUGAAAUGCGUAGAGAUGUGGAGGAACACCGAUGGCGAAGGCAGCCCCCUGGGCCAAUACUGACGCUCAUGCACGAAAGCGUGGGGAGCAAACAGG
rnacentral:rRNA from 1 species